rnacentral:rRNA from 1 species
UACGUAGGGUGCGAGCGUUAAUCGGAAUUACUGGGCGUAAAGCGUGCGCAGGCGGUUUUGUAAGCCAGAUGUGAAAUCCCCGGGCUUAACCUGGGAAUGGCAUUUGGGACUGCAGGGCUUGAGUUUGGCAGAGGAGACUGGAAUUCCUGGUGUAGCAGUGAAAUGCGUAGAUAUGUGGAGGAAUACCGAUGGCGAAGGCAGCCCCCUGGGAUAACACUGACGCUCAUGCACGAAAGCGUGGGGAGCAAACAGG